CAGUCGCCGCGGGAAUACGAAGGGGGCUAGCGUUGUUCGGAUUUACUGGGCGUAAAGCGCACGUAGGCGGAUCGAUCAGUCAGGGGUGAGAUCCCAGAGCUCAACUCUGGAACUGCCUUUGAUACUGUCGAUCUGGAGUAUGGAAGAGGUGAGUGGAAUUCCGAGUGUAGAGGUGAAACUCGUAGGUAUUCGGAGGAACACCAGUGGCGAAGGCGGCUCACUGGUCCAUUACUGACGCUGAGGUGCGAAAGCGUGGGGAGCAAACAGGAUUAGAUACCCGGGUAGUCCCUGUCUCUUAUAC
rnacentral:rRNA from 1 species